AUGAAGGAGCCGACGACGACGCUAAUCACGGAUAGGAUCUCUAAUUUAAUCUACCAGCUCCAUGGCUUGGCUAUCGAUGAUGCUCGCUCCUACGGCAGCGCCGCCUGGGCAGGGGCAGGGGCCGGGGCGCCGUCGUCUUUCUUGGCAGCGAGGCGCGCCGCCGCGCGCUCGGCGCGGCGGGCCUUGGCGAUGGCGCGGACGGCGGGGGAGGCGCCCUCGCCCUCGCCCUCGCUCUCGCUCCGGAGCCGAAUCUGCAUGACGCGGCGGUGGGAGUUGGAGUGCAGCAGCGGGGAGAAGGUGGGGCUGUUGGCCGGCCGGUACUCCGGGAGCAGCCGCCCCGUCUUGUACCGCACGCCGCACGCGUUGCACAGCGUGCGGGGGCCCAGCGGCCCCUGCCGCCACUGCGGGGUCACCUCCGACGCGCAGUGCGUGCACCGCCGCGCCGCCGGGAGCGGCGGCGGCAGCGUGGGCGGCUCCGCCAGGUUCCACGGCGCCGUCACCCGGCGCCGACGCCCCUUCGUCCUCGGCCCCACCGCCGGCCGCCCCGACGGGGCCGCCGGCGCCGGCUCCGGCACCUCCUCCACCGCCUCCACCGCCAUGGUCUCCACCGACGGGAACGCGUCCUUGUUCGACAGCCACUCGAGCUCCUCCAAAUCCUCCUCCCCCGCCGCCGCCCCGGCCGCCAGUUCCCCAUCCCCCGCCGCCGCCGCCACCUCCAACCCCUACAAAAAAAAACACAAAACUUUGUUUAGCCCCUUCUAUCUAUCUAACCAAACCCUCGGCCACAGUCAGGAGGGGGGCAAGGGAGAAGCAGCCACCGUCUGGUCAAAGAAGCUAUUGAAGCUGGGCAGGUCCUGGGCCAGCGCCGCCGCCGCGUGCUUGUCAACAUCGCCGCCGCCCACCAUGGUCGCCGCCGCCAGGAGAACGCACGCGGGCACAGGGAUGGAAAGAAAUGGAAAACAAAAGCGGCUCGAUUGCUCCGACGCUCCUACUGUUCGAUCGAUCCGGUGGCCUUUUUAUCGUCAGCGCCUCGACCCCUUUCCUGGAGGAUUUUUGUUGCUAUCUUUGCUCAAGCGGGAGCGGAGUGAUUAA
rnacentral:rRNA from 1 species